rnacentral:rRNA from 1 species
GUUGCGGUUGAAAGCUCGUAGUUGGGUUUCUGCGGAGGAAGCGCGGUCCGCACUUGGUGCGUGUAUCUGGUCUACCUACGCAUCUUCCAGUGAAACGCUACUGCCCUUUAUUGCGUGGCGCGGCAAUCUGGACUUUUACUUUGAGGAAAUUGGAGUGUUUACAGCGAGCGAUUGGUUUGAACAUAUUAGCAUGGAAUAAUAACCUAGAACCUUGGUUCUAUUUUGUUGGUUUCUAGACUAGGGUAAUGAUCAAUAGGGAUAAUUGGGGGCAUUUGUAUCAACACGUCAGAGGUGAAAUUCUUGGAUUGUGUUACGACGAACCACUGCGAAAGCAUUUGCCAAGGAUGUUUUCAUUGAUCAAGAACGAAAGUGCAGGGAUCGAAGACGAUUAGAUACCGUCGUAGUCUUUUCCGUAAACUAUGCCGAUUAAAGAUUGGAGGUCGUUCUUAUUGUGGCUCCUUCAGUAAUUUAUGAGAAAUCAAAAUUCUUGGGUUCCGGGGGGAGUAUGGUCGCAAGGCUGAAACUUAAAGGAAUUGACGGAAGGGCACCACCAGGAGUGGAGCCUGCGGCUUAAUUUGACUCAACACGGGGAAACUCACCAGGUCCAGACAUAGCAAGGAUUGACAGAAUGACAGCUCUUUCUUGAUUCUGUGGGUGGUGGUGCAUGGCCGUUCUUAGUUGGUGGAGUGAUUUGUCUGGUUAAUUCCGUUAACGAACGAGAUCUUAUCCUGCUAAAUAGGAACGUGUGUCUUCGGACAUGCAGGUUGCUUCUUAGAGGGACUUUGCGAAUUGAAGCGUAGGGAAGGUUGAGGCAAUAACAGGUCUGUGAUGCCCUUAGAUGUUCUGGGCUGCACGCGCGCUACACUGAUGCGUUCAACGAGUAUGCCUUGUCCGGCAGGACUGGGGAAUCUUGUGAAAGCGCGUCGUGAUGGGGAUAGAACACUGUAAUUAUUGUUCUUCAACGAGGAAU